AUAUCCAGUCUCCAUGAAACGAUGAGAACAGCUGUCCUGAAAUGACAGAGCAAGAAACCUGUGUAGCAACAGCCUCAGAGAGGCCCCUUAAUUUACCUUCUCUACUAUGAAAAAUCAGAUUUUGUGAACAAUUUGGCAUGAGGAGAGAAAGGAACCUGAAGUUUUUAGCAAGGAAGGGCCCUGAUGGUGGUUGCCUUCAACAUUGCCUCAAUACUCAACAUCCAAGACAGCCCUGGCUUAGCAACUGGAAUAAUGGAUGGGGAAAAUUUUUUCUCAAGCACAUGUGAAAUUUGGCUGUCAGACCACCUUCUUCUGCACAGAAAGCUAAAUGUAUUGCCUAGUUUUGCAACUUCAUAUGACUGUUCGCCAAACUGGAAUAAUUGUUGUAUUUGUGUGUGACUUCUCAGUAUUCCUAUGGCAUUACCACCAUAGAACCCCUAUGUCAAAUGGUGAAAGAAUUAGAUGGGGUUUUGCUAACUUUUAGAGUAACUUUGUUUUUUUGCAUCAACAUUCAAGAAGCACUCCUUCCCUUCCACUGCAGUAGAACCUUGAGGUCCCUCUCAGAUUUCUGUGGGGUGUCUGUGGUCUGCU
rnacentral:lncRNA from 1 species